CAGCGCUCAGAGUAACAGGCACGGUGAUUGGAGGAGCGCUGAGGCGGCUGUUGUCUCGGCCACCGGGUGUCCGCAUUCCCGGUGCCGCCGAGGGCCGGGGAGGCACCGGCUGGAACGGGCACGGACCGGCAGGAACGGGCGGAUACAGAGCGCACACCGCCCCUGAGCGGGGUCGGGCAUGUCCCCGGUGCUUCUCAGCCGCUCAGGUACCCACCCGCCGUUCCCAGCGCUGCCUCACCUGGGCACGGCUGCGGCGUGAGGCGAUUUCCGGUGGCACCUCCGGGGCCUCACCUGAGGGCGUCACCUCAUCCCUCACCUCAUCCCUCACUUGGGCUCCUCCCGCCCCGAGCGCCGAGUUCUCGCAAUGGAGACAGCAAAGGCCAUGGCUGAGCUCUGGAGCCUCGGCCCUCCUGCACUUUCAGAGCAGAAACAAAAUCCCGGCUGUGCCCUAAGUCGUGACACUGGACGAGUCUGUGACCGAUCCCCGCCUUUCCAGCUCAGGGAUGCUGUGGAGCACGAGGUCAUCCCAACAUGGAUUUCCUCACCAAGGGAAUAACAUCUUCCUUCCAGUCAAGGACUUCCCACCUAACAAGGAACAAGGAAUUUACUCCAGAUUUAUUCCAGAGGCUGCAGCCUCAGCCACACAAACCUACCAGGGAAGCAAAGAAAACUCCUUCUAGGUGAGUGCAGCCUGGAAGACACCCCAGUGCCAUGGAAUACAUGAAAAUCCAUCAUAGGAGGGUGAUCCCAGAGUGUCCCACUGUGUCCUGGUCCAGAGGGGAUGGCUGUUGUCCCCAGGAAGUGGCUGGGAGGUGGCAGUGCCUGGAAGGGCAGUGUGGGUUGGGAACAGCCUGGAGCAGUGGAUCAGGGGCCCUUUAUCAGCUGAUCUCCCAGACAUUUACAAACAGUAAUUAAACCUGCACCACCCUGGGAUGUGGGGGCCACUUCUUAUCCAUGGAGCAAGAAGCCAAAGCACACCUGACCUGGAAAGAUUCCUCAUAUCCCGAGCAGAGGCUUUAGGCUGGGCUGGUUUUGUGCCUGAACUCUCCCCAGAGGAACACUGAGGAUGAAGAGCCAAAUGUGGGGACCCCGGGGCAGGAAUGGUGAGGGACACUCAUGUCUGCACAGCCCCCCAAGGUAACUGAGGGAUAAAAGCUGGCCAUUUCCCCAGCCCCUGCUGGAGAGAGGCUUGUAAAAGUGCUCCCUGGAAGCCGGAACUGCCAUUCCCAGGUAUUCCAUCCUGCCACCACUUCAGAGGGAUGAAAAGGCAUGAACACAAACUCCCUUCUCCCAAGCCCUCCCACCCCUUGGGAUCCUCAUGGGAAGAUAAAUAAUUCUAUCAGCAGAUCAUUCAAAAACAUUUACUGUCACCAUGAAGUGACGUUGCAGGCCUGAGAUUAAGAUCAUCAAUAAAUUCCUGACCCUGGAAAAGAAUGAGCCCAUGAGAAAGCCCAGGGCUCUCCUUACUCAACAGGGAAAUCUUUACUACAUCUCUCAGCAGCUGGAUCUUCUAUCAGGGCUUUGGGGAAAAGGAAGCUGGAAGGGAAGCAAUGCCAGGAGGGAUUUGAUAAGGACAGAGGGCUGGAGGAAAGGGCAAAUUAAAUGAGAGGAGGGAAGAUCCCCAGCCUGUUAUCAGAAAACACACAAACACUCCACACCCAGCUGCGCUGCUGUCCCAGACAGUGGGAGAGCAGGAGGGACUCCCAGCUGGGGUCCUUGGGCAUCCCUGUCCUGUUCCAGCACUGCCUGGAGAGGGGAGCAGCCAGCUCUCUGCAAGGCUGGACCAUGGAAAAUCCAUACAUUUUACAAUAACCAUCACAGGCUGUCCAUAGCACUCCUUUCCCAAAGCUCUUCAUUUCCCAAAGAUUUAGGCUUAGAAGGAUUAAGCAUCACCCUGAGGGCCACACAGCAGCUCUGGAGUCCUCACUUAGCAGCUCCUUGUCCAGCUUGGCUGGUUCAUAUUUUACAGUAUUAUUUUUAAAGGUAAGGUUG